rnacentral:misc_RNA from 1 species
UUGGUGGAAACUGGCUGCAUACGGGAAGAAUGCAUCGGCGCGUCGGCACACCUCAGAUCGGCAUCGUUUCUUACCACGCAGAAGUCGAACUCGCGGGUGCAUUCGUCAUCGGCGGUCUUCGUUUUGCGCUUUUUUUUUGCCGCUGGAAUCUUCUUUUUUAGGCUGUCGUAGCAGGAUCUCUCUCUCUCGCUUGGCCCAUAGAAAAAGGUUUUAAGGCAUUUUUUUUGUAUCGCUUGCGGCGGCAGCCGAUAGGGUCCGCCGCCAUGAUGCGCUCGUCGGAGAAGCAUCAGAGCGUCAAAGCCAUGCAGCUGAACCGUGAUCGGAUCAAGGAGAGAAUUCAGGAAAAGCACCAACUGCAGCGGCAGCGGGUGCGGGAUCGUCGACUCAGCGGACUGCGCAAGGCAGAGGACGGAGAGACGUCUGGCGACGCCACGGGUGCAGGCAUUCUUUGGGCACCUGUGAAGGGUCAUGAAGAGGUCGGCUCAAGUUCCGCAUACGCGCCUGACACCGCGCUGUGCUGCAACCCUGGCGGGACUGUGACGAUGCCAGCGGUGGAGGACUGGUCUGACAUUGGCCACGAGUUCGGCGUCAACAUCCACGACGUUGACGUGAUGGAGUAUUUAUUAACACUCGAGGAGGAGAUUCGACAAGAGCAGUUCUUUCAGUUCUACGAUCAAACAAACGGCAACGAAUGGGAGGACUACUUCCGCUCUCUCACAUGCUGACAGGAGGCUGAACCUGCUUCUGUGAAGAUCACCCUCUCUCUCUGCGCUUGAGGGGCGCACCUGCCACGACGCUCGUGCAGUGCGUGUGUGCGUGUGAAGUCCGCGUGUUGAUGUACUGCUGGCACGCAGGCCGCCUCCACACUCCCCGUCUUCGUUGUCUGCCGCCGCCUUCUUCGUCGAUUCGCUUGUCUUCCCUGCGCUUUACAGUCUGGCGUACCUGAGUUGCCCUUCUCCUUAUACUCCUUUCUUUUACGUUCUUUGUGUGUGUGUGUGCGCGCGUGCGUGUGUCCGCGUCUCCAUGAAGACGACAAACACGAGUUGGAUCAUGAUGCUGCAAAAAGUCAGCUUGAGUUUUUUCUUUUUUUUUCUCCUCUCUUUUGCGGUUUGUGUUUGCUCUGGCUUCACGACCUUCGGUCUGGGCCUCCCUGUCGCCAACCAGCCGCGCCGUGGCACCUUUGUGCGUGACACGGUUUAUGCGUGUAUGGGCAUGGGUUUUUCUAUCUCUGCCCUUCUUUAGAACUGCUCGGCGGUCAUUCUUGCGCACAGGGGGAUUAUGCUGCGUCCGCUGCACUCGCUUCCUUCGAUGUUUAUGGCCAUCUGUGCACCUGCUCUAUCGCCUCCUCUUUUCGACAUUCCGGCGCUUCCCUUUCCAG